rnacentral:lncRNA from 1 species
GUGAAUACUGCUCAACCAUGAUGUCUCUACUUAGCAUGAUUUGCAUAAGUAAAUAAGCAACUACCACAGGUAUGUACAUGAGAGUAACCAAUAUGUAAAUGCAUGAGUAUGCAACUAUCCCAAUGUCCACAAUGUGAAUAGCAAUAAUGUCAUUGUUCACUAUUCUAGUCAAUGUCCACUUGUCACUUUAACUGUUUAAAGUUCAACUCUGAUAAGACCCACCCGAAGGCUGUCUGGCUUUACCGUGCCUAAUGGCCCCGUGGUAGUCAACAUCCCCACCCUAGGAAUGAGCCUUUCCCACGGCAAUCCACUUCGGCGCCCAAUCCUGCACGGCGAAUGUAUCGCGAUGGCCAACUCCGGAGUGCCGGCUUGUAGGGAGCGACCCUCACAAGCAUGUGCGAAUGAGCACAAUGGCAAGCAUGCGUAUAAGUCUGUCUCAAGUCUCAAGUCCUCAUGUCUAUGAACAUGGAAAGUAUCGAAUGUCACAAAGGCCUAUCACUAUGUCAUCAUGUCUCUAACAUGGAAUAUAGUCGAUGUCCAAUGGCCUAUCACUAUGUCUCUAUGUUGCAUUUUCAUAGUUUACUAGUUUCAAGUGCCC